rnacentral:rRNA from 1 species
UACGGAGGAUGCGAGCGUUAUCCGGAUUUAUUGGGUUUAAAGGGUGCGUAGGCGGAUCGUUAAGUCAGUGGUCAAAUUGAGGGGCUCAACCCCUUCCCGCCAUUGAAACUGGCGAUCUUGAGUGGAAGAGAAGUAUGCGGAAUGCGUGGUGUAGCGGUGAAAUGCAUAGAUAUCACGCAGAACCCCGAUUGCGAAGGCAGCAUGCCGGCUUCCGACUGACGCUGAAGCACGAAAGCGUGGGGAGCAAACAGG